AUGAACGCUGGCGGCGUGCCUAAUACAUGCCAGUCGAGCGAACAGACGAGGAGCUUGCUCCUCUGACGUUAGCGGCGGACGGGUGAGUAACACGUGGAUAACCUACCUAUAAGACUGGGAUAACUUCGGGAAACCGGAGCUAAUACCGGAUAAUAUAUUGAACCGCAUGGUUCAAUAGUGAAAGACGGUUUUGCUGUCACUUAUAGAUGGAUCCGCGCCGCAUUAGCUAGUUGGUAAGGUAACGGCUUACCAAGGCAACGAUGCGUAGCCGACCUGAGAGGGUGAUCGGCCACAUUGGAACUGAGACACGGUCCAGACUCCUACGGGAGGCAGCAGUAGGGAAUCUUCCGCAAUGGGCGAAAGCUUGACGGAGCAACGCCGCGUGAGUGAUGAAGGUCUUCGGAUCGUAAAACUCUGUUAUUAGGGAAGAACAAAUGUGUAAGUAACUAUGCACGUCUUGACGGUACCUAAUCAGAAAGCCACGGCUAACUACGUG
rnacentral:rRNA from 1 species